GAUGAACGCUAGCGGCAGGCUUAACACAUGCAAGUCGAGGGGUAUUUAUCUUCGGAUAGAGAGACCGGCGCACGGGUGCGUAACGCGUAUGCAAUCUACCUUUUACAGAGGGAUAGCCCAGAGAAAUUUGGAUUAAUACCUCAUAGUAUAUAGACUCGGCAUCGAGAUUAUAUUAAAGUCACAACGGUAAAAGAUGAGCAUGCGUCCCAUUAGCUAGUUGGUAAGGUAACGGCUUACCAAGGCUACGAUGGGUAGGGGUCCUGAGAGGGAGAUCCCCCACACUGGUACUGAGACACGGACCAGACUCCUACGGGAGGCAGCAGUGAGGAAUAUUGGACAAUGGGCGCAAGCCUGAUCCAGCCAUGCCGCGUGCAGGAUGACGGUCCUAUGGAUUGUAAACUGCUUUUAUACGAGAAGAAACACUGCUACGUGUAGCAGCUUGACGGUAUCGUAAGAAUAAGAAUCGGCUAACUCCGUG
rnacentral:rRNA from 1 species